CAGUCGCCACGGGAACACGGAGGGUGCAAGCGUUAUCCGGAUUUAUUGGGUUUAAAGGGUCCGUAGGCGGAUCUGUAAGUCAGUGGUGAAAUCUCACAGCUUAACUGUGAAACUGCCAUUGAUACUGCAGGUCUUGAGUAAAUUUGAAGUGGCUGGAAUAAGUAGUGUAGCGGUGAAAUGCAUAGAUAUUACUUAGAACACCAAUUGCGAAGGCAGGUCACUAAGAUUUAACUGACGCUGAUGGACGAAAGCGUGGGGAGCGAACAGGAUUAGAUACCCCAGUAGUCCCUGUCUCUUAUAC
rnacentral:rRNA from 1 species